rnacentral:rRNA from 1 species
UGGGGAAUUUUGGACAAUGGGCGAAAGCCUGAUCCAGCAAUGCCGCGUGUGUGAAGAAGGCCUUCGGGUUGUAAAGCACUUUUGUCCGGAAAGAAAUCCUUGGCUCUAAUACAGUCGGGGGGUGACGGUACCGGAAGAAUAAGCACCGGCUAACUACGUGCCAGCAGCCGCGGUAAUACGUAGGGUGCAAGCGUUAAUCGGAAUUACUGGGCGUAAAGCGUGCGCAGGCGGUUUGCUAAGACCGAUGUGAAAUCCCCGGGCUCAACCUGGGAACUGCAUUGGUGACUGGCAGGCUAGAGUAUGGCAGAGGGGGGUAGAAUUCCACGUGUAGCAGUGAAAUGCGUAGAGAUGUGGAGGAAUACCGAUGGCGAAGGCAGCCCCCUGGGCCAAUACUGACGCUCAUGCACGAAAGCGUGGGGAGCAAACAGGAUUAGAUACCCUGGUAGUCCACGCCCUAAACGAUGUCAACUAGUUGUUGGGGACUUCAUUUUCCUUAGUAACGUAGCUAACGCGUGAAGUUGACCGCCUGGGGAGUACGGUCGCAAGAUUAAAACUCAAAUGAAUUGACGGGGUCAUAGCUG